UGAGGAAUAUUGGGCAAUGCCCGCAAGGGUGACACAGCAAAGCCGAGUGGAGGAAGAAUGUCGUAAGAUUGUAAACACCAGUUAGAGGGGAAGAAUAGUACCGGUUGGACCGGUAUAUGACUGUACACUCAGAGAAAGCGCAGGCUAACUACGUGCAAGCAGACGCGGUAAUACGGAGGGUGCAAGCGUUAUACGGAUAUACUGGGUUUAAAGGGUGCGUAGGCUGGCAUGUAAGUCAGUGGUGAAAUACCGGAGCUUAACUUCGGACCUGCAAUUGCUCCUAUAUGUCUUGAUUAUUGUCGAGGUAUGCGGUAUUUUUCAUGUAUCGGUGUAAUGCAUAGAUAUGACAUCGACCCCCGAUUGCGGUGGCUGCUUGCUACGCAAAUAUUGACGCUGAGGCACGAAAGCGUGGGGAUCAAAC
rnacentral:rRNA from 1 species